GAAUCAUCCAUUGGAGGGGGUUGAAGAUAGAAAGACGAGGAGAAAGAUAGAUGCAGCAUUUCAUGGGAUAAGGAAGGAAAGAAGACAGUUUGCGGACCAGCGAAUCCAACAAUGAAACAACUCUGUCGACUUAACGAGGACACAUCGAUGAGAGUCUUCCGGAUUCUCGUCAUCUCGAUGCUAAAUUCGCCUAUUUUUCCAGGGAAGUUAACUUCGUGGAAAAUUCGAGACAGCGACGAAGAGUCUUUAGCUUGCCAGAAGAGUUUCCUUCCUCUGGAUAAGCUAAGGAAGUCGAUCGUUCUAUGGUAAUGAAGAGUAUGUACCCUGUUGCGGAGCAGAGCAUUCUUCGCUAGCUCCGUCUGAAAGAGGUCACUAGGUCUCUCGGACUCGAGGUUGUUCGAGCUUCGGGUCACCAUCCACCGAUUCCGUCG